CCAGGUAGUGCUUGUUUAACGUCUCGAGCCUGACCCAAACCUACUUAGCACUCAUCAGUAAGUGCUUAUCCUACCAACACCCUUCAGUAGGUGUACAUACCUUGUAUCCUUCAGUGGAUACAUAAAAGUUUUAGCAUCCCUCAGUAGAUGCUAUCCAAAAAGUGUUCAAAAGUUCAAUAAAUUACAUGUCCAAAAUUAAAUAAAACUAAAACUACAAAUGUUUUAUACAAGGUGGGAUUAAAUAUAAUCAAGUCAUUCCAUCCCGGUUGGGGUCUUCGUCUACCCAACUCAUCAGUUGCCUUCUAUCCACUCUUUUGAUGGCUUUAGUAUAUGGUCUCCUGAUCUCCACUUUGCCAUCU
rnacentral:lncRNA from 1 species